UACGAAGGGGACUAGCGUUGUUCGGAAUCACUGGGCGUAAAGCGCACGUAGGCGGAUUUGUAAGUCAGGGGUGAAAUCCCGGGGCUCAACCUCGGAACUGCCUUUGAUACUGCGAAUCUUGAGUCCGAUAGAGGUGGGUGGAAUUCCUAGUGUAGAGGUGAAAUUCGUAGAUAUUGGGAAGAACACCGGUGGCGAAGGCGGCUCACUGGCUCAUUUCUGACGCUCAGGCGCGACAGCGUGGGGAUCAAACAGG
rnacentral:rRNA from 1 species